rnacentral:rRNA from 1 species
GACGAACGCUGGCGGCGUGCCUAAUACAUGCAAGUAGAACGCACAGUUUAUACCGUAGCUUGCUACACCAUAGACUGUGAGUUGCGAACGGGUGAGUAACGCGUAGGUAACCUGCCUGGUAGCGGGGGAUAACUAUUGGAAACGAUAGCUAAUACCGCAUAAUAUUAAUUAUUGCAUGAUAAUUAAUUGAAAGGUGCAAUUGCACCACUACCAGAUGGACCUGCGUUGUAUUAGCUAGUAGGUGAGGUAACGGCUCACCUAGGCGACGAUACAUAGCCGACCUGAGAGGGUGAUCGGCCACACUGGGACUGAGACACGGCCCAGACUCCUACGGGAGGCAGCAGUAGGGAAUCUUCGGCAAUGGACGAAAGUCUGACCGAGCAACGCCGCGUGAGUGAAGAAGGUUUUCGGAUCGUAAAGCUCUGUUGUAAGAGAAGAACGGGUGUGAGAGUGGAAAGUUCACACUGUGACGGUAUCUUACCAGAAAGGGACAGCUAACUACGUG